ensembl:lncRNA
GUGUGGGCUUGUUCUGAAGGACAAGUGCUGGGAAUGGUGUUUACAUGGUCUCACAUAACAGAACAGUGUGCAGUUAUUUCCAAGAGAUCGUUCAAGGACGAUAUGACUAAAACAACAGGAAUAUUUAGUUUCAGUAUCCUUGGUCUUGAGUGAUUUUCUUCUGAGCAGUACCAAGGACACAACUGUAAACAAAAUUAAGUGUAUCAGUGCAAGAAAGAGAGAGAAAAAUACAGAAAGGGGACAGAGAGAGGAAGAGGAAGAGGACGAGGAGAGGAUGCACCCUCAGGGGGCAAUGUUGUUUGGGCCUGCAUGCCUCCCCAACUCACACACGUAAAUAUACAAGGGCCUAAGAUACAGUAAACCCUGUUUCUAGUAUAUAGAAAGAGAUGUACUGCAAGCAAUUGUUAUUACUGUAUAUACUGUAAUGCUUUUAACACCUUCCUCCCCCCUCAUGUGAGAGUGAGACUAGACUGGGAGGGCGAAAUUAAACUGAUGGUG